rnacentral:rRNA from 1 species
UACGUAGGGGGCAAGCGUUGUCCGGAAUCAUUGGGCGUAAAGAGCGUGUAGGCGGCCAGAUAAGUCCGCUGUGAAAUCUCGAGGCUCAACUUCGAGCUGUCGGUGGAAACUGUCUGGCUAGAGUCCGGAAGAGGAGAAUGGAAUUCCUGGUGUAGCGGUGAAAUGCGCAGAUAUCGAGAGGAACACCGGUGGCGAAGGCGGCGAUCUGGACGAUGACUGACGCUGAGACGCGAAAGCGUGGGGAGCAAACAGG